GUCCAGACUCCUACGGGAGGCAGCAGUAGGGAAUAUUGCUCAAUGGGGGAAACCCUGAUGCAGCGACGCCGCGUGAGCGAUGAAGUAUUUCGGUAUGUAAAGCUCUAUCAGCAGGGAAGAAAAUGACGGUACCUGACUAAGAAGCCCCGGCUAACUACGUGCCAGCAGCCGCGGUAAUACGUAGGGGGCAAGCGUUAUCCGGAUUUACUGGGUGUAAAGGGAGCGUAGACGGCAGUGCAAGUCUGGAGUGAAAGGCGGGGGCUCAACCCCCGGACUGCUCUGGAAACUGUACGGCUGGAGUGCAGGAGAGGUAAGUGGAAUUCCUAGUGUAGCGGUGAAAUGCGUAGAUAUCAGGAGGAACACCGGCGGCGAAGGCGGCCUGCUGGACCGCGACUGACGUUGAGGCUCGAAAGCGUGGGGAGCGAACAGGAUUAGAUACCCUUGUA
rnacentral:rRNA from 1 species